rnacentral:rRNA from 1 species
GGGGAAUUUUCCGCAAUGGGCGAAAGCCUGACGGAGCAAGACCGCGUGAGGGAUGAAGGCCUUUGGGUUGUAAACCUCUUUUCUCAGGGAAGAACACAAUGACGGUACCUGAGGAAUAAGCCUCGGCUAACUCCGUGCCAGCAGCCGCGGUAAGACGGAGGAGGCAAGCGUUAUCCGGAAUUAUUGGGCGUAAAGCGUCCGCAGGUGGCUUUCCAAGUCUGCCGUCAAAGCCCGAGGCUUAACCUCGGAUCGGCGGUGGAAACUGGAUCGCUAGAGUGCGUCAGGGGUAGGGGGAAUUCCCGGUGUAGCGGUGAAGUGCGUAGAUAUCGGGAAGAACACCAGUGACGAAAGUGCCCUACUGGGACGCUACUGACACUCAUGGACGAAAGCUAGGGGAGCGAAAGGGAUUAGAUACCCCAGUAGUC